rnacentral:rRNA from 1 species
AACGAACGCUGGCGGCAGGCUUAACACACGCAAGUCGAACGGGUGUAGCAAUACAUCAGUGGCAGACGGGUGAGUAACACGUGGGAACCUUCCUAGGGGUACGGAACAACUCAGGGAAACUUGAGCUAAUACCGUAUACGUCCGUGAGGAGAAAGAUUUAUCGCCCUUAGACGGGCCCGCGUCGGAUUAGCUAGUUGGUGGGGUAACGGCCUACCAAGGCGACGAUCCGUAGCUGAUCUUAGAGGAUGAUCAGCCACGCUGGGAUUGAGACACGGCCCAGACUCCUACGGGAGGCAGCAGUGGGGAAUCUUGGACAAUGGGCGCAAGCCUGAUCCAGCCAUGCCGCGUGAGUGAAGAAGGUCUUCGGAUUGUAAAGCUCUUUUGCCAGGGACGAUAAUGACGGUACCUGGAGAAUAAGCCCCGGCAAACUUCGUGCCAGCAGCCGCCGUAA